GGCCGCCUGGCGAAAUGGCAUCGCGUCUGACUACGAUCGGUAAUUUGCACGAGUUAUGCCUUAUCUAGUAAUCAGGAGAUUGCAGGUUCGACCCCUGCGGUGGUCA